rnacentral:rRNA from 1 species
UACGGAGGGUGCGAGCGUUAAUCGGAAUUACUGGGCGUAAAGCGCACGUAGGCGGCUUGUUAAGCAAGAUGUGAAAGCCCAGGGCUCAACCUUGGAAUUGCAUUUUGAACUGGCAAGCUAGAGUUUUGAAGAGGGUGGUAGAAUUUCCAGUGUAGCGGUGAAAUGCGUAGAUAUUGGAAGGAAUACCAGUGGCGAAGGCGGCCACCUGGUCAAAAACUGACGCUGAGGAGCGAAAGCGUGGGGAGCAAACAGG